rnacentral:rRNA from 1 species
UAGUCUUGCGGCCAGCUCGCCUGUUUUUCAAAAACAUGUCCUUUUGAAAAUUAUUUAAGGUCUAAUCUGCUCAAUGAGGAUUUAAAUUGCCGCGGUAUUCUGACCGUGCGAAGGUAGCAUAAUAAUUAGUUUCUUUAUUGGAAGCUGGAAUGAAUGAUUGGACGAGAAAAAUUUUGUCUCUGCUUGAUUUUUUUUUGAAUUUAACUUUUAAGUUAAAAGGCUUAAAUGUUCUUUAAAGACGAGAAGACCCUAUAGAGUUUAAUAUUCCUUCUUUGUUUAGAGUUUUUGGUAUUCGUUGUCUAUAUUUAGUGGAUUAUUUGGUUGGGGUGACUGGAAGAUUGAUAAAACUCUUCUAAAAUUUUGAUUACUGAUUUGUAAAUUUAUGAUUCUAAUUUUUUCAAGUUUAAAUUAAAUUACCUUAGGGAUAACAGCGUAAUUUCUCUUUAGAGUUCUUAUUGAAGGGGAAGUUUGCGACCUCGAUGUUGGAUUAAAGUUAAUGCUGGGCGCAGUUGCUUAGUUAUUAGGUCUGUUCGACUUUUGAAACUUUACAUGAUCUGAGUUUCAACCGGUAAAAACCUAAAGGGUCUAAUCUG